rnacentral:lncRNA from 1 species
GGUCUGCCACCCUGUUGCUCUAGCCAAAUUCACUAUCUUACCAGAAAACGAGCUUGAAAAAGUAGUCACUGAGGGCAAUGCCAGACGAGCAAUGAAGGUGGAAGAGUGGGUGUCACUGUUAAAGUUGCAGGAGACAACCUAGUCUUCAGUGAAGCCCAGGAUGCCCUUGAAGGGGCCCUCCAGUGCCUGCUUCACCACUUUCUUGAUGUCAUUGUAUUUG